rnacentral:lncRNA from 10 species
CAUGAUAUAAGAAAAUGAAAUCAAACCAUAAGGUGAAGCAUGUCUUCCGCAGGGGACUGCUGAUGUGUGUUUCCUUGGGAUUUUGAGGCAUCCCAGAACAUAGUGAAAAAAAUGCAAAGAUUUUCCUUGCAUGUAAACCUUGUCAUUCAGGACAAGAAGCAGGAAGAUCUACCGGACAGAUGGAGAAGAGUGAUGUAAAAGAGGAUGCAUGGAAAGAGGCCAUUUUGGAGUCAGAUGGAUCUGAUUUUGAAUUCCAACUUUAUUACCUACCAACUCUGUGAACUGUAAGCAAGUUUCCUCAUUUGUAAAUGGGGGUAAAUUACCCUUCUCAGCAUGAUUGUGCAU